rnacentral:rRNA from 1 species
GGGAUGACACAGUAGGAUAAGCUAAGCACACUGUUGGUUAUGUGUGCCCAAGCAUUGAGGCAGUCAAAGUAGGCAAAUCCGCUUUGAUAAUGCUGGGAUGUGAUGGGGAGCGAAAUUUAGUAGCGAAGUAGCUGAUUUCACACUGUCAAGAAAAGUCUCUAGCGAGGUUAAAGGUACCCGUACCGCAAACCGACACAGGUGGGUGAGGAGAGUAUCCUAAGGCCAGCGAGAGAACUGUUGUUAAGGAACUCGGCAAAAUGACCCCGUAACUUAGGGAUAAGGGGUGCCACCAUCAGGUGGCCGCAGAGAAUAGGCCCAAGCGACUGUUUACCAAAAACAUAGGUUUCUGCUAAGUCGCAAGACGAUGUAUAGGAGCUGACGCCUGCCCGGUGCUGGAAGGUUAAGGGGAUCUGUUAGAG